rnacentral:rRNA from 1 species
CCUACGGGUGGCAGCAGUGGGGAAUAUUGCACAAUGGGGGAAACCCUGAUGCAGCGACGCCGCGUGAGUGAAGAAGUAUCUCGGUAUGUAAAGCUCUAUCAGCAGGGAAGAAAAUGACGGUACCCGAUUAAGAAGCCCCGGCCAACUACGUGCCAGCACCCGCGGGAAUACGUAGGGGGCAGGCGUUAUCCGGAUUUAAUGGGUGUUAAGGGAGCGUAGGCGGCAGCGCAAGUCUGAAGUGAAAUUCCGGGGUCUAACCCCGGAACUGCUUUGGAAACUGGGCAGCUAGAGUGCAGGAGAGGUAAGUGGAAUUCGUGGUGUAGCGGUGAAAUGCGUAGAUAUUAGGAAGAACGCCAGUGGCGAAGGCGGCUUACUGGACUGUAACUGACGUUGAGGCUCGAAAGCGUGGGGAGCGAACAGGAUUAGAUACCCCUGUAGUC